rnacentral:lncRNA from 1 species
GAACUUAAACCAGAGGGAAAUAAAUCCUAUGCUUUGAAAGCCCCUAGAAGAGUAAGCCCCCUCAAGCCCAGGAAAAGAGGCAGAGGACACCCGGCGCAGAGGGAGGCGAUCCUAGACACAACCUUUUGUCUGCAGAUUAUCAAGACUGUGUCCUAGAUUCCAAGGUGACAGUGCCACAGUGUCCUGGUGACCAGUUUUCUAUUUCUUCAUCUUCCAUGGUGGAGACAUGCCCAUUGAGGAUAAAAUAAAGAACUAAGGAGACAGCCCGCAUCACACAACAUUUCACUCAGCUGUGUCGCUGAGCACUGACAAACUCAAUUUACGAAAGGCAAGAGUGAGUUGACACCAUGCUGUGGCAGUUGUCCUGAUGGGAGGAAACGACUCAUUUCCUUCCAAGGUAGAAUCCACCUUCUCUGAGAAGCAUGCUUGUGCACAAGAGUACUGAAGACAAGGAGGAACUGUACAGAAGAAGAUGCAGGAGGUCUGAAGGGAAGUCAGAGACAAAAGAAGGAAGGAAGCAAGCAAGCACUGCUCAUGGAAUGGUCUGACAGCCCCAGGCUCGAGAAUGUGUCUCUCCCAAGUACUCUGUCACCCUGGUAACCAUGGAGACCAUGACGAUCGAUUAGAUGCCAUCUGAUCUCAACCUUAUAAAAAAAAAGGCAGCAGAUGGCAACCAGGCCACUAGACCUGUCUCAAGAGAGACGAAGAGGAAGAGCGAGAAAGAAAAGGAAGGAGGGAGAAAGGGGAGGAGGUGGGGGUGGGUUGGCGCAGGGAGAAGAGAGCCCAGAAGCAGCUCUGGAAAUGAAAAUUUUAGAAAAGAAUGAAAAUAGAAAACAAGGAAAGCAAUGGAAAAAAAGAAACUAAAACCCAUUGUGUGAUAGACCUCUACAGUGAGUUGUGGGAAGAUAAUUCUACAGAGAAAGCGAAUCAGCUGUCUCCUAACUUUCCACUUUUAUACAGAAUGGUGUGGAACCCGGGCCCCAAGGCUUCUCUGAGGGA